CAGCAGCCACGGUAAUACGGAGGGUGCAAGCGUUAUCCGGAUUUAUUGGGUUUAAAGGGUCCGUAGGCGGAUCUGUAAGUCAGUGGUGAAAUCUCACAGCUUAACUGUGAAACUGCCAUUGAUACUGCAGGUCUUGAGUAAAUUUGAAGUGGCUGGAAUAAGUAGUGUAGCGGUGAAAUGCAUAGAUAUUACUUAGAACACCAAUUGCGAAGGCAGGUCACUAAGAUUUAACUGACGCUGAUGGACGAAAGCGUGGGGAGCGAACAGGAUUAGAUACCCGCGUAGUCCCUGUCUCUUAUAC
rnacentral:rRNA from 1 species